UACGAAGGGGGCUAGCGUUGCUCGGAAUUACUGGGCGUAAAGCGUGCGCAGGCGGUGAUGUAAGACAGGUGUGAAAUCCCCGGGCUAACCUGGGAACUGCAUUUGUGACUGCAUCGCUGGAGUGCGGCAGAGGGGGAUGGAAUUCCGCGUGUAGCAGUGAAAUGCGUAGAUAUGCGGAGGAACACCGAUGGCGAAGGCAAUCCCCUGGGCCUGCACUGACGCUCAUGCACGAAGCGUGGGGAGCAAACAG
rnacentral:rRNA from 1 species